ACUCCUACGGGAGGCAGCAGUGGGGAAUUUUGGACAAUGGGCGCAAGCCUGAUCCAGCCAUUCCGCGUGCAGGACGAAGGCCUUCGGGUUGUAAACUGCUUUUGUACGGAACGAAAGGGCUCUGGUUAAUACCUGGGGCAUAUGACGGUACCGUAAGAAUAAGCACCGGCUAACUACGUGCCAGCAGCCGCGGUAAUACGUAGGGUGCAAGCGUUAAUCGGAAUUACUGGGCGUAAAGCGUGCGCAGGCGGUUUUGUAAGACAGAGGUGAAAUCCCCGGGCUCAACCUGGGAACGGCCUUUGUGACUGCAAAGCUGGAGUGCGGCAGAGGGGGAUGGAAUUCCGCGUGUAGCAGUGAAAUGCGUAGAUAUGCGGAGGAACACCGAUGGCGAAGGCAAUCCCCUGGGCCUGCACUGACGCUCAUGCACGAAAGCGUGGGGAGCAAACAGGAUUAGAUACCCUGGUAGUCCACGCCCUAAACGAUGUCAACUGGUUGUUGGGUCUUCACUGACUCAGUAACGAAGCUAACGCGUGAAGU
rnacentral:rRNA from 1 species